rnacentral:rRNA from 1 species
CCUGCCGGAGGUCAUUGCUAUUGGAGUCCGAUUUAGCCAUGCUAGUUGUACGAGUUGAGACUCGUAGCAGAUAGCUCAGUAACACGUGGCCAAACUACCCUAUGGAUCCAGACAACCUCGGGAAACUGAGGCUAAUCUGGAAUAGGGCUCUCAUCCUGGAGUGGAGAGAGCCUGAAAUGCUCCCGGCGCCAUAGGAUGUGGCUGCGGCCGAUUAGGUAGACGGUGGGGUAACGGCCCACCGUGCCAGUAAUCGGUACGGGUUGUGAGAGCAAGAGCCCGGAGACGGUAUCUGAGACAAGAUACCGGGCCCUACGGGGCGCAGCAGGCGCGAAACCUUUACACUGCACGCCAGUGCGAUAAGGGGACUCCAAGUGCGAGGGCAUAUAGUCCUCGCUUUUUGCGACCGUAAGGUGGUCGCGGAAUAAGUGCUGGGCAAGACCGGUGCCAGCCGCCGCGGUAAUACCGGCAGCACAAGUGAUGACCGCUGUUAUUGGGCCUAAAGCGUCCGUAGCUGGCCGCGCAAGUCUAUCGGGAAAUCUCUCCGCUUAACGGAGAGGCGUCCGGUGGAAACUGUGUGGCUUGGGACCGGAAGACCAGAGGGGUACGUCUGGGGUAGGAGUGAAAUCCCGUAAUCCUGGACGGACCACCGGUGGCGAAAGCGCCUCUGGAAGACGGAUCCGACGGUGAGGGACGAAAGCUCGGGUCACGAACCGGAUUAGAUACCCGGGUAGUCCGAGCUGUAAACGAUGUCUGCUAGGUGUGACACAGGCUACGAGCCUGUGUUGUGCCGUAGGGAAGCCGUGAAGCAGACC